rnacentral:lncRNA from 1 species
GGAGAGAAGAGGGAAAAGCGGAGAGGCUGACAUGUGGGACCAAUUUACAAGGGACUAUUCCCACCCAAUCCUACAUUUUUGAGAGCUGGAGUCAUGUCAUUAGCCAAACAGGUUGAUCAACUCCAUAUUUUUCUGAAGUUGGUUGGGUGGCGCUGCGGAAAAGUGAAGUUGGUGGAGUGAAGUUGUUUUUUCUUGAGUGGAGGCCAACUGCAGCUGACUGGUUUUGUUAGAUGCAUUUACAAAGGCGGAUGUCUUGCAACUAGCAGCUAGCUUCCUUUACACGGUAG